rnacentral:rRNA from 1 species
CGUAGGGUGCAAGCGUUAAUCGGAAUUACUGGGCGUAAAGCGUGCGCAGGCGGUUGUGCAAGACAGAUGUGAAAUCCCCGGGCUUAACCUGGGAACUGCAUUUGUGACUGCACGGCUAGAGUGUGUCAGAGGGGGGUAGAAUUCCACGUGUAGCAGUGAAAUGCGUAGAUAUGUGGAGGAAUACCGAUGGCGAAGGCAGCCCCCUGGGAUAACACUGACGCUCAUGCACGAAAGCGUGGGGAGCAAACAGGAUUAGAUACCCUGGUAGUCCACGCCCUAAACGAUGUCAACUAGUUGUCGGGUCUUAAUUGACUUGGUAACGCAGCUAACGCGUGAAGUUGACCGCCUGGGGAGUACGGUCGCAAGAUUA